rnacentral:lncRNA from 1 species
UUUAGGGUCUAGGAUUAGGGUUUAGGGUAUAGGGUUUGGGUUUAGGGAUUUGAAUUUGGGUUUAAAUUUAGGGUAUAAGGUUUAGAAUUUAAGAUUUAGGGUUUAAGGUUUCGCUGGAAGCGUUAACGUCGUUAAAAUUAACGUUUUUAUUUUUUGUAACUAUUUUUUUAUUUAAUUUAAUAUUUUUUAAUUAAUAAUCUAUGUGUCACUUUGAUUAGUCCUAAAGGGUGGGGUUAAUUUGAAAGUUCACCGUAGGGGAUGAACCUAAGUUUUGUUCUUAUAAAUACUAGAUCUUUGAACCACGCUAUGGUUUGUGUUUGUAUAUUUUUUUGUUUUUUUAUGUAUUGGUUUAUAUUUUUUAUUAUUUUAUUGAUCUCAAAUAUUUUUUGUUUCAAAUUUCUUAUUUAGAUUAGUUACCGUUUUUAAAUUUUAUACUUUUGAAUAUUUAGUUAUACUCUUAAAAUAGUAUUUUCUUAGUUAUUAUUUUAAUGUAGUAUUGCAUAUUUAGAUACAAAAGAAAAUA